GACAGAGGCUGCACUCCGUAGCUCCGUCUGCACAGCGAAGUCUGUACGGUGCUUUCCCAAGCCUCUCAUCUGAACAGGAACGGGAGCACGCUGGGUUAUGUGCUGUUCACCGGGGGAGGAAGCAAUCUGCCUGUGGUGACUAAAGGCCUCCAUUCCCCUACCAAGGUCAGCAGAAGCAUCCCCUGCCUUUGGCUACAUCAUAAUUGCAUUAAUAAAGACCGCGGCUCCCAGGGGUAGAGGCUGCAAUUAGAAGCUGUUUCAGAGGUUUCAUUGCUCUCCGUGGUGUUCCACUGCAAGCAGAGAGGCCGCCUGGAUUUAUUGAUGCCAUUCCCUGCCUUUGAACAC
rnacentral:lncRNA from 1 species